AUUGAACGCUGGCGGCAUGCCUAACACAUGCAAGUCGAACGGAGGUAGGGGCAACUCUACUUCAGUGGCGGACGGGUGAGGAAUGCGUCGGAAUCUACCCUAUGGUGGGGGAUAACACAGGGAAACUUGUGCUAAUACCGCAUGAUGUCGAGAGACCAAAGCAGGGGACCGCAAGGCCUUGCGCGAUAGGAUGAGCCGACGCCCGAUUAGCUAGUUGGUAGGGUAAUGGCCUACCAAGGCGACGAUCGGUAGCUGGUCUGAGAGGAUGAUCAGCCACACUGGGACUGAGACACGGCCCAGACUCCUACGGGAGGCAGCAGUGGGGAAUAUUGGACAAUGGGCGCAAGCCUGAUCCAGCAAUGCCGCGUGUGUGAAGAAGGCCUGCGGGUUGUAAAGCACUUUUGUUCGGGAAGAAAUCAUGCCGGCUAAUACCUGGUAUGGAUGACGGUACCGAAAGAAUAAGCACCGGCUAACUUCGUGCC
rnacentral:rRNA from 1 species